rnacentral:rRNA from 1 species
AGAGUUUGAUCAUGGCUCAGAUUGAACGCUGGCGGCAUGCCUUACACAUGCAAGUCGAGCGGCAGCGCGGGGGCAACCCUGGCGGCGAGCGGCGGACGGGUGAGUAAUACAUCGGAACGUGUCCUUUCGUGGGGGAUAACCAGUCGAAAGACUGGCUAAUACCGCAUGAGAUCUCACGAUGAAAGCGGGGGACCCGUAAGGGCCUCGCGCGAUUGGAGCGGCCGAUGUCGGAUUAGCUAGUUGGCGGGGUAAAAGCCCACCAAGGCAACGAUCCGUAGCUGGUUUGAGAGAACGACCAGCCACACUGGGACUGAGACACGGCCCAGACUCCUACGGGAGGCAGCAGUGGGGAAUUUUGGACAAUGGGGGCAACCCUGAUCCAGCCAUGCCGCGUGUGUGAAGAAGGCCUUCGGGUUGUAAAGCACUUUCGGCCGGAACGAAAUCGCGCGGGCUAUUACCCCGCGUGGAUGACGGUACCGGAAGAAGAAGCACCGGCUAACUACGUGCCAGCAGCCGCGGUA